rnacentral:rRNA from 1 species
AACGAACGCUGGCGGCGUGCCUAACACAUGCAAGUCGAGCGCGAAUGGAGCAAUCCUAGUAGAGCGGCGCACGGGUGCGUAACACGUGGAUAAUCUGCCUGGGUGUCUGGGAUAACCAGUCGAAAGACUGGCUAAUACCGGAUAAGACCACGGUCUCUUCGGAGGCUGUGAGAAAAGGUGGCCUCUGUAUACAAGCUAUCACAUCCAGAUGAGUCCGCGGCCCAUCAGCUAGUUGGCGGGGUAAUGGCCCACCAAGGCGACGACGGGUAGCUGGUCUGGGAGGACGAUCAGCCACACUGGAACUGAGACACGGUCCAGACUCCUACGGGAGGCAGCAGUGGGGAAUUUUGCGCAAAUGGGCG